rnacentral:rRNA from 1 species
CCUACGGGGGGCAGCAGUGGGGAAUAUUGGACAAUGGGGGGAACCCUGAUCCAGCCAUGCCGCGUGUGUGAAGAAGGCCCUCGGGUUGUAAAGCACUUUCAGUGAGGAAGAACGCCUGGUGGUUAAUACCCAUCAGGAAAGACAUCACUCACAGAAGAAGCACCGGCUAACUCCGUGCCAGCAGCCGCGGUAAUACGGAGGGUGCGAGCGUUAAUCGGAAUUACUGGGCGUAAAGCGCGCGUAGGUGGCUUGAUAAGCCGGUUGUGAAAGCCCCGGGCUCAACCUGGGAACGGCAUCCGGAACUGUCAAGCUAGAGUGCAGGAGAGGAAGGUAGAACUCCCGGUGUAGCGGUGAAAUGCGUAGAGAUCGGGAGGAAUACCAGUGGCGAAGGCGGCCUUAUGGACUGACACUGACACUGAGGUGCGAAAGCGUGGGUAGCAAACAGGAUUAGAUACCCCAGUAGUC